rnacentral:rRNA from 1 species
AACGAACGUUGGCGGCAUGCCUAACACAUGCAAGUCGAACGAGAUCUUCGGGUCUAGUGGCGCACGGGUGCGUAACGCGUGGGAAUCUGCCCUUUGGUUCGGAAUAACAGUUGGAAACGACUGCUAAUACCGGAUGACGACGAAAGUCCAAAGAUUUAUCGCCAGAGGAUGAGCCCGCGUAGGAUUAGCUAGUUGGUGUGGUAAAGGCGCACCAAGGCGACGAUCCUUAGCUGGUCUGAGAGGAUGAUCAGCCACACUGGGACUGAGACACGGCCCAGACUCCUACGGGAGGCAGCAGUGGGGAAUAUUGGACAAUGGGCGAAAGCCUGAUCCAGCAAUGCCGCGUGAGUGAUGAAGGCCUUAGGGUUGUAAAGCUCUUUUACCCGGGAUGAUAAUGACAGUACCGGGAGAAUAAGCUCCGGCUAACUCCGUGCCAGCCGCCGCAGUAA